AGUAGCUAUUUAGUGUGAUAAUGGCGUUUGAUAGUUUAGACACAAACACCAUUGUCACACUCCACAGCUCUG
ensembl:miRNA MIR122 microRNA 122